UACAGAGGGUGCAAGCGUUGUUCGGAAUUAUUGGGCGUAAAGGGUUCGUAGGUGGCUUGUUAAGUCAGACGUGAAAUCCCUCGGCUCAACCGGGGAACUGCGUCUGAGACUGAUGAGCUCGAGUGCAGGAGAGGAACGCGGAAUUCCAGGUGUAGCGGUGAAAUGCGUAGAUAUCUGGAGGAACACCGGUGGCGAAGGCGGCGUUCUGGACUGCAACUGACGCUCAUGCACGACAGCGUGGGGAUCAAACAGG
rnacentral:rRNA from 1 species